GGGAUUGUGGUGUAGUUUGGUAGCAUUGGUGGUUUGGGGCCACUAGACCGGGGUUCAAAUCCUCGCAGUCCCA
rnacentral:tRNA from 1 species